UACGGGGGGGGGCAAGCGUUGUUCGGAAUUACUGGGCGUAAAGGGCGCGUAGGCGGCCUGCUAAGUCGGAUGUGAAAUCCCUCGGCUCAACCGAGGAACUGCAUCCGAUACUGGCAGGCUUGAAUCCGGGAGAGGGAUGUGGAAUUCCAGGUGUAGCGGUGAAAUGCGCAGAUAUCAGGAGGAACACCGGUGGCGAAGGCGGUUCUCUGGGCAUUACCUGACGCUGAGGAGCGAAAGUGUGGGGAGCGAACAGG
rnacentral:rRNA from 1 species